rnacentral:rRNA from 1 species
AGAGGUUGAACGGCCACAUUGGGACUGAGAUACGGCCCAGACUCCUACGGGAGGCAGCAGUGGGGAAUAUUGCACAAUGGGGGAAACCCUGAUGCAGCAACGCCGCGUGAAGGAUGACGGUUUUCGGAUUGUAAACUUCUUUUCUUAGUGACGAAGACAGUGACGGUAGCUAAGGAAUAAGCAUCGGCUAACUACGUGCCAGCAGCCGCGGUAAUACGUAGGAUGCAAGCGUUAUCCGGAUUUACUGGGUGUAAAGGGAGCGCAGGCGGGACUGCAAGUUGGAUGUGAAAUACCGUGGCUUAACCACGGAACUGCAUCCAAAACUGUAGUUCUUGAGUGAAGUAGAGGCAAGCGGAAUUCCGAGUGUAGCGGUGAAAUGCGUAGAUAUUCGGAGGAACACCAGUGGCGAAGGCGGCUUGCUGGGCUUUAACUGACGCUGAGGCUCGAAAGUGUGGGGAGCAAACAGGAUUAGAUACCCUGGUAGUCCACACUGUAAACGAUGAUAGCUAGGUGUGGGGGGGUCUGACCCCUUCCGUGCCGGAGUUAACGCAAUAAGCUAUCCACCUGGGGAGUACGACCGCAAGGUUGAAACUCAAAGGAAUUGACGGGGGCCCGCACAAGCAGUGGAUUAUGUGGUUUAAUUCGAAGCAACGCGAAGAACCUUACCAGGUCUUGACAUCCGACUAACGAGAUAGAGAUAUGUCAGGUGCCCUUCGGGGAAAGUCGAGACAGGUGGUGCAUGGUUGUCGUCAGCUCGUGUCGUGAGAUGUUGGGUUAAGUCCCGCAACGAGCGCAACCCCUGCCAUUAGUUGCUACGCAAGAGCACUCUAAUGGGACCGCUACCGACAAGGUGGAGGAAGGUGGGGACGACGUCAAAUCAUCAUGCCCCUUAUGACCUGGGCUACACACGUAAUACAAUGGCCGUUAACAGAGGGAAGCAAAGCGGUGACGCAGAGCAAAACCCUAAAAACGGUCCCAGUUCGGACUGUAGGCUGCAACCCGCCUACACGAAGUUGGAAUUGCUAGUAAUCGCGGAUCAGCAUGCCGCGGUGAAUACGUUCCCGGGCCUUGUACACACCGCCCGUCACACCAUGGGAGUUUGUAACACCCGAAGUCAGUGACCCAACCGCAAGGAGGGAGCUGCCGAAGGUGGGAUAAGCGACUGGGGUGAAGUCGUAACAAGGUAGCCGUAGGAGAACCUGCGGCUG